AUAGUCGUAUGUCGUAUGGAA
ensembl:piRNA 21ur-1962 ncRNA